ACUUUAGUCUAAAGUAGGAGGGGAAAUCGCACUAUUCAUAUGAACAGUGUUUUGGUCCGAAUUUCACUUUAUUUACGAGGUUGCCACUGACUCUGUCUGCCGUUGAUCAUGAUGCCUGCGUGUUGAUGAUCGUGGAAAGGCAGGGUGCGAUCGUCACUUUACCAUUCUCUUCCUCCCCUCUCUCUCUCACUCAGAUCCCAUCUGCUUACCUAAAAUCCCCAGAUCGAACAUCCUCCAUCUCAAAUAAAAAAACCUUCCCCCUUCAAAACCCAUAGAAUCAGCACUCAUGGAAUGAUCAUGGAUUUUUGUUGAGUCGACCUUCUGGUGAUAAAAUCGUGAUGUGACCAUCGUAUUCUCUCUCACAGCUCACAACGAUGAAAUCGCACAGGGCUUCCUUGAUUUCUGUCAACUCCGACCACGACCAGUGUUGUUAUGAUUAGACGAUUCGGAUGCGCCUAAUAAACAAACCUAAUUUGCCUCGCGCGUUCAGUCAUCUCCUUCCUUCGUCUAAAACCUCACACAGAGACAGAGAUCCCCUAAAACCCUAAACGCCCAAAGUAUUAAUCACAAAGUUACGGAGCUGAAAUUGCAAACGCUGUCAUGGCUGCCUUAAAAAAUAAGAAGAAUGUGUGUGUGAAGUCGGUUUCGACGAAGAAGCAGGCUAAUAUGGACCAUAUCACAAGGGAUAAAAUCCCAAGGAGGUUUGUGUUUUCCAGAUGCAAGUUGCCUGGUCCUCUGAAGCAGCUUCAAGCUGAUUUGAGAAACUGGUGCUUCCCUACACUGCCUUUAAGCUUAAGGAGAAGAGGCAGAACAAUCUUAGAGACUUUUUGAAUGUGGUUGGGCCUAUGGGGGUUACACAUUUCCUCAUGUUGUCGAAAACUCCAACUGCGCCAUACCUUAGGUUUGUGAGGACACCUCAAGGCUCAACGCUAUUUUCAUAAGAUAUGCAGUGGGUUCCAUUUCUAAUGUCUUUGUGGGUUUUCAGGGGUGCAGAUCCUGAUUGACAAGGAAUAACAGAAACGAAUAUAACAACAGUGAGACCAAAUGGGAGAUCCAAUGAAAAAAAAACAGUAAUGGAUAAACCGAGGCCUAUAGAUUUCAACUGCCUCACAACCGCCGCCAGAGAGGUCAGGUUGUCCAGAGCGCUGCCUUUUCCUCCGCCAACACCGCUGUGUCAGAUGUUAAGCUGCGACUCCAGGAGGACCACAGCAAUGGCUUCAAUCCCAUCCUCCACUUUUGCUUCUGGAGUUUGUCAGGGAGAAAGUUCACGAACGAAAGAAAUCUAAUCGAGAGGAACCCUGAUUGUGGGAGGAAGAAGCUGCUUCAUUGCCAUUUUUAGAUCAAAGUCUCAUUACAACGUCGUGAUCUGCUCUUCUUGCUGCCUUUGAUCUAGGGGUCUGGACCUAUUGCAUUUGAAUCAAGGCUUUGAUCCAACACAACCAUACACAUCAAACCAUCCAUUCACACAGCAGCCACCAAACAAACCAUUACUCAAACAUACACACUUUUUUGAGAAACAAAGAGUAUCAACCACUGGAAUCUGGAUUUCCUAGCAGCAGGGAGUGCUGAUGUAUCUGAGAACCAUCAUCUUUUCCUUCUUCCGCUUCUUCCUGUGCAUUCCAGUUUGACUGUCUGUCAUAAAAAAGGAUCUAAAGCAUUUUUCCUUUUGAAGAGCAGCUGCACGGAAAGUAUUAGAAAGUUGGAUCGAUCAAUGGAGCACUUGGCCCUUUGACUUUUGAGUGCGGAAGAUAUCCACUCUAAAAAAAAGUGAACAAUGCAAUCUCCAUAAUUGACUACUGCAGGCAAUUCUACAUAUUUUUGGCUAUCAACAUUUUUGCUUCAACAACUGCGUGUUUAUCACACAUUCGUGCUUGGAAACUUAGAUGCUAGAAUAAGAACAAAAUAGUUUUUAUGUUUUUUGUCAACUACAACGUGUAGCCAACCUAGAAGAUGUAUAUUUUAUCACCUUGACUACAAGGGCAACAUUUCUGUAAACUAUAUGUUACUUCUAUUUCUUCUAUUUAUUAGGGAACCAAAACGUUCUGUUUCGUCCUGUUAAUUGUACAAUAUAGUUCAAGGUGAUGUAUUCAAGUCCCGCAGCAUUGCGCGGGCAUUUUU